UUACCUCUGAAAAAAGUAUAUGAAAAUCAAUUUAUAAUCGGGCCAUGACUAGAUGAACAAUAAAAAUACUCCAUACAUGUUCUACCAAAAAAAUAACAAAUGAUCCGAUCCAUACAUGUGAUGAAAAACAUCAAGUGCACACAGCUUAUUAAUACAACAAUUCAAUCAAACAACAUAGGAAGGUCAAAACGUAAAUGACAUGAAAAUAACCAAGAAGGAAAUGAAAAUCCAUGAAAAAAAAUUCUCAAAGACCAUUUCUGGCAAAGAGAAUUGCAAUGAGAAUAGGAACAAAUCCACCAAUUACUGAGUGACAAUUGAGGCUGCUUGCAAAGCUAGAAGGUGCUUCCGCCGGAGAGUGAACAUGCCCGUCGUGACCGGCAACCACCAUGGCCAAAACAAAGAUAAAAAUUGUGAACAAUGAGAAUUUGAUUUGUGAAGCCAUUUUUGUUAUGUUGAACUGAUCAGCUUAUUGAAGGUGUAGAAUUCUUCAAAAGCUGCUUAUGGCUU
rnacentral:lncRNA from 1 species